rnacentral:lncRNA from 1 species
AUGGGAUUCCUUGUUCAGGAGCUCUCUCUCCCGUCAGUGCAGCAGCAUUCCGCUUCCUGUUGCUGUCCCAGGGGAGGGGGUGUGUCCUCUGGUUUCUGCUCCUCUUUGGUCUUGCAGAACCCCACAUUUUCCUCUCUUGCUUCUCUUUAUUUCUUCACCCCUCUGCUUCCUAAGGGUGCCUCUUCCUUCUAUUUAUCCUCUUCUUCAGAGGCAAAGCAGCUCUGGGCAUGCCAUGUAGGUCCUGGAGAUGCAUGUGUCCUUUCCCUGGAGCCGCCAGCCCCUGGGAGGCUUCUCUGCAGUUUUUCUCCAUGUCCCUCCUGUCCACGUCCCUGGACUUUCCUCACUGUCCACCACUGUGUUCACUGGGAUCAAAGCAGGCCUGUCAGAGGCGUGAGGAUGCAGCCUGACUCCAUCCCUGUGGGAGGAUUGACACACAGUCCCUGCAGGGAGGCCAAACAUUCAUGCGCAAUGGUUGCAGGACAAGGUGUGAUGGGUAAGCAGCCUUUGUCCUCCACAAUCUGGAGUCGUCUAGAGUUUCCGCUGAAGUUGUCACUGGCCAAGGAGAUAUCGUGGCUCCUGACAGAGGGAAACUCAAGUGUCUGAAUCACACUGUCUGUAUCACCAUUCAGAUCUGUCAGAUCCCCGAAAGACCAUCUGUCUAAACACACGUAUAUGCUAUGCUGAUUGCAAAGCACUUUCAGAUAGAUACGUAGAUAGAUAAUGGAUAGUCAUAUAGAUAGAUGGUAGACAAACAGAUGAGAGAUCAUAGAAUUAGAGGGAUAAGACAAUCAGAUGAUAGACAGAUAAUAGAUACAUGAUACAUAGAUAGAUGACAGACAGAUGAUAGAGGAUAGAUAGAUGAUAGGUGAUAGAUGAUACAUAGAUGAUAGAUGAUAGAUGAUAUCUAGAUGAUAGAUAGAUGAUAGACAAUAGAUAAUAAAUGAUAGAUAUUAGAUGAUAGAUAAUGAUAGAUGAUAGGUAGGUAGAUAGCUAUAGGUGACAGGUUAUAGAUAAU